GCUUUAUAGCCGGGAAGGUAAAGUGAGGAAGAAAAGCAGUAGCAAGCAACAGUAAGGUAAAAGGGGGCAAGGAAAUGACAGCGAGAGCAGAUAACGCUUGAUAGCUGAAGAACGAACGCCUGAACUGACGAAGUGUUGUUGGUGCUGACAAGACGCCGCCGCCGGUCGAUCUCCCCUCACCGCGCCCGCCGCCCGCCGCUGACUGCUGGAUACGAGCCGCCGCGGGCCGUAGACUCAUCCCUGAGCUCCUGCUGCUCCACUCCCGCCGUCGCUUGCUGCUCCAGCUCGGCCCCGCCUCCUUCUGCUCCAGCUCGGCGCCUCGCCCUGCUGUUCCAGCUCGGCGCCUCCCUCUCCUGCAGCAGCGACGCCAAGGUGAGAGACCGUCCCCCUUCUGUUGCCUGCUAUUCCUCUGUGUUCCUUGUUCUCUCUGUAGCCUUUGUCCGAAAUUGUCCACUGGAGAGGAGCCGCUGCCCCCUGCUGCUGCAGUUCGUUCUGCUCAAUUCGGCCCCGCCGACCGCUGGAGAAUCAUCCCCAACAUCUUGCUGCUCCACUCAGCCCUGCCCCCUGCAGCUCCAGUUCGUGCGCACCUCCCCCCUGCCUGUUAGCUUCCUGCCUUGCCAUCAACAGCAGCUAGCCAAGAUUCACAAUGUCGCGACGGAUGCAACUCGUGAUAUAAUUGCCGACGCUCCGACGGUCCCAAGAGAGCAUGACUGUAAUAGGUUAAACUAAUGUGCUACCAUGAUGACAAAUAUUUUGCAACCGAACGAUGUGAAGAAAAUAUAGUUGCAGUAAUCUAUGGUAUAAGGUGUCAAAAUUAUUGUCA